rnacentral:rRNA from 1 species
AUGGCUGUCGUCAGCUCGUGUCGUGAGAUGUUCGGUUAAGUCCGCUAACGAGCGCAACCCUCGCUGUGUGUUACAAGUGUCACACGGUACUGCCGGUCUUAAGCCGGAGGAAGUGGGGAUGACGUCAAGUCAGCAUGGCCUUUAUGUCCUGGGCUACACACACGCUACAAUGGCCAACACAAUAGGUUGCUAAGCCGCGAGGUGGAGCCAAUCCUCAAAGUUGGUCUCAGUUCAGAUUGCAGGCUGCAACCCGCCUGCAUGAAGAUGGAGUUGCUAGUAACCGCAGGUCAGCUAUACUGCGGUGAAUACGUUCCCGGGGCUU